rnacentral:rRNA from 1 species
CGUUAUUCGGAAUUAUUGGGCGUAAAGGGCGCGUAGGCGGCUUUUCAAGUGACGGGUGAAAGCCCUCGGCUUAACCGAGGAACUGCCUGUCAGACUGGAAGGCUUGAGACCGGGAGAGGUGAGUGGAAUUCCCAGUGUAGCGGUGAAAUGCGUAGAUAUUGGGAGGAACACCAGUGGCGAAGGCGGCUCACUGGACCGGAACUGACGCUGAGGCGCGAAAGCGUGGGGAGCAAACAGG